AGCGAAAUACCUUGUGGGGUAAGUUCCCACGCGCAUGAAUAGCGGAACGACUGGGGGACUGUCUCAACCAAUAGCCCGGUGAAAAUGCAAUGUCGGUAAAGAUGCCGACUUCCCGCACCAAGACGGAAAGACCCCGGAAGCUUCACUGCAGCUUGGUAUUGGUCUACGAGUUGUUAUACGUAGCGUAGUGAGUAGUCUUUGAAGUAUCGAUUUAGGUCGGUAUGGAGACGCCAAUGAAACACUCAUUUUAACGAUUUGUAGCUCUAACCGGGAGACAGUGCCUGGCGGGUAGUUUAAGUGGGGCACUUUCCUCCUAAAGAGUAAUGGAGGAGUUCAUCAAGGUUGGCUAGCUCCGGAUGGAAAUCGGAGCGAUAGUGUAAAGGCAUAAGCCAGCUUUACUGCAAGACGGAUGUGUCGCGCAGUUACGAAAGUAGGACCUAGUGAACCGACUCUCGUUCGUAGGAACGGAGAAGAUCACCAGAUAAAAGCUACUCCGGGGAUAACAGGCUAGUCUUGCCCGAGCGUUCACAGCGACGGCAAGGUUCGGCACCUCGAUGUCGGCUCGCCCUAUCCUGGGACUGAAGAAGGCCCCAAGGGUUUGGCUGUUCGCCAAUUAAAAGGGUACGCGAGCUGGGUUCAAACCGUUGCGGGCGUUGAAUAUUUGAGAGGGGUUGUCCCUAGUUUCUAGUGAUAGGAGAAUAAGUGACGAGAGGACCGGGACGAACGAACCUCUGGUGUACCAGCUGUCCUGCCAAGGGCAUUGCUGGGUAGCUAUGUUCGGUUCUGAUAAGCACUGAAAGCAUAGAUGAGAUAUUCUGGAUUCCUUGUAGAUUACGAGGUUGAUAGGACUCAGGUGUAAGCACAGCGAUGUGUUCAGCCAAGAGUUACUAAUAGAUC
rnacentral:rRNA from 1 species